rnacentral:rRNA from 1 species
AAAAUUCCUAGGUAGAAAUUAUGAUUAAUGACCAUUGUCUGCCCUAUGUGUCUUGACCAAAAUUACGUGCCCAGCAGUCGCGGUAAUAACGUAGAAGACUAGUGUUAUUCAUGUUUAAUCGGUUUAAAGGGUACCUAGACGGUGAAUCAAGCUUUAGAAUAAAGAAGAAAAGGAACUAAUUCGCUAGAGUUACUUACGAGGGGGUAGUAAAGUACUGCUGGUGUAGAGAUGAAAUUCUGUCAUACCUCUUUUCGAAAGAAAAAUUAUGGCACAGGUAUAGGCGAAGGCAUCCCCUUAUGUGAUAACUGACGUUGAGGGACGAAGGCUUCGUGGAACAAACAGGAUUAGAUACCCUAGUAGUUGAAGCAGAAAAUGAUGAAUGUCAUAGAUUAGACGUCUAAGUUUAUUCUAUAAAUGAAAGUGUAAGCAUUCCACCUCAUGAGUAAUUUGGCAACAUUGGAAUUGAAAUCAUUAGACCGUUUCUGAAACCAGUAGUGAAGUAUGUUGUUUAAUUUGAUAAUACGCAAAAAACCUUACCACAAUUUGAAUAUUUAUAUUGUUUAUUGUUAUCUUAUUAAUUUUCUUAAAAAAACUAAUUAUAGCAAAAGCAUUUUAAAACAGGAAAAGAAAAUUAAUCAAGAGGCAAUAACAUAUAUCUACAAGCGUUGCACGGCUGUCUUCAGUUAAUGUCGCGAGACUUGGUUAGUUCCAUUCAAUUAAGGUAAA